rnacentral:piRNA from 1 species
UGAAACAAGGAAUACUUAUUGUCCAAGGAAC